CAGCCGCCGCGGGAAUACGAAGGGGGCUAGCGUUGUUCGGAAUUACUGGGCGUAAAGCGCACGUAGGCGGAUAUUUAAGUCAGGGGUGAAAUCCCGCAGCUCAACUGCGGAACUGCCUUUGAUACUGGGUAUCUUGGGUAUGGAAGAGGUUAGUGGAAUUGCGAGUGUAGAGGUGAAAUUCGUAGAUAUUCGCAGGAACACCAGUGGCGAAGGCGGCUAACUGGUCCAUAACUGACGCUGAGGUGCGAAAGCGUGGGGAGCAAACAGGAUUAGAUACCCCAGUAGUCCCUGUCUCUUAUAC
rnacentral:rRNA from 1 species